UGGAAAUGGGAAUUCAAAUGUAGUUGCUUCAUAUACAGGAUGGCCCAAGAGAAGGUUAUCUAGUAAGGUCAUGUUGUCUGUGUUUGGGACAGCAAAUAUAUCAUAAUAUCAGACUACUUACAAGAAGAGUCAACAGUAACAAGGACAUGUUAUAAGAAUUUUCUAUAAAAGUUAUGAAACCAGUAUCAAGGAAAAGAUGUAGUUUGCUGUCAAAAGGUAUGUUGCUGAUAGAUGACAAUGUAUUUGCACACUAAGCUGCAGAAACAGUCACGUUUCUGCACAAAUAUAGCAAUAAAAUUUUGUGCCAUCCAUAUAGGGAAGAUAUUGCUUCGAUAAUGAGGAGGUCAUUGCUGCUUAUUGCUGCAGAGGAUUGGCUGGCUUGUCUCCAAAUCUUUUGACUUCUACAAAGAUGAGAUUAAACACCUGUUCCACAGGUGUGAGAAGUGAGGCUUUAAGACAUAGAUGUUUAGAGAAGAAAGAGUUGGAGAAUCAGAUUUCCCUAGCACAUCUGAAUCAUAAUGAGGGUAAUAUGAGUAAGAAUGAAAUUAGAACUGCAGAGGAUUUUCUGAUAGUAUAUGCUCCUAUAUAUAGUAUGAGUGAGAAUGAAAACAAAUUCUAGUGCAACCUGAAUGAUAUGAUAAA
rnacentral:lncRNA from 1 species